AAUCAACGCUGGCGGCGUGCCUAACACAUGCAAGUCGAACGCGAGAGGGGCUUCGGCCCCGAUUGAGUGGCGAACGGGUGAGUAACGCGUGGGUGACCUACCUUCGAGUGGGGGAUAACGUCCCGAAAGGGACGCUAAUACCGCAUAACAUCCUGCUUUUGAAUGGGUGGAGAUCAAAGCCGGGGAUCGCAAGACCUGGCGCUUGAUGAGGGGCUCGCGUCUGAUUAGCAGUUGGUGAGGUAACGGCCCACCAAGGCAACGAUCAGUAUCCGGCCUGAGAGGGCGGACGGACACACUGGGACUGAGACACGGCCCAGACUCCUACGGGAGGCAGCAGUGGGGAAUUGUUCGCAAUGGGCGCAAGCCUGACGACGCAACGCCGCGUGGAGGAUGAAGGUCUUCGGAUUGUAAACUCCUGUUGCCCCGGGACGAAUGGCUCCGACCUAACACGUCGGAGUGUGACGGUACCGGGUGAGGAAGCCCCGGCUAACUCUGUGCCAGCCGCCGCA
rnacentral:rRNA from 1 species